UGAAUAAGCUUUGUACAUGGCGAUUGGGUCACGAGGAGAAUUUACCCCAAACAUUUUGGGGUUGACCUUCCUGUAGUCGCCCAGAUUCUCACCAGUGCGUGUUUUUGUCUGCCUCUCAUGAAACUCUAAGAAUUCAUCACCCUCGGCAGUGGUUCGCAGCUUCACAUCUCCCCAUCUAAAUAAAAGGGAACAUGGAGUGUGUGGACCAAGGACAGCAGUUUCCCACAUCUGGUCUUUGUCCUCAUCAGUUAGAGGUUCAGCUUCCCUUGGGCGGUUGCCUUGGCCCUGUAUAGAGCAAUGUUCAACUGUUCGAUAAUGUCAAGGUUUCACGAGUCAACGCAAAGUCUGUUCUGGAACCAGACAUAAUGCUGUGUGGAAAAAGAUGACGACGGAAGUACCGAUCCUACAAACGUUAAAAGCCUCUCAAUGAACUUGGUUCAUAGUCCGACCCAUCCGGUUUAGUUAGAGACAGGAUGAAUCUUGCCACAUAGUGGUCUAACUGAUCAACGGGAAUUUCAUGCAUUUGCUUUGUUUCGCCUUGUUGUGCAAGAUAUCUGCGAAAUUUGUUGAUAUCAGCAAAUGUUUUAUUUGCUGUGUUUUUAUUUUCUUGGUCAGUGAUAAAUUUAUUGACAUGUUCAAUGUUAACAUCCUUAAACUCAUUGCUUUUUGAAGUUUCUUGCCUGAUUGAAUCCUUAUUCUGUUCAUUUAUGGGAA